rnacentral:rRNA from 1 species
GGUUAAGCGACUAAGCGUACACGGUGGAUGCCCUGGCAGUCAGAGGCGAUGAAGGACGUGCUAAUCUGCGAAAAGCGACGGCGAGGUGAUAUGAACCUUUGACCCGUCGAUGUCCGAAUGGGGAAACCCAGUGUGUUUCGACACACUAUCGUUAACUGAAUACAUAGGUUAACGAGGCGAACCGGGGGAACUGAAACAUCUAAGUACCCCGAGGAAAAGAAAUCAACCGAGAUUCCCCCAGUAGCGGCGAGCGAACGGGGAGCAGCCCGGAGUCUGAAUCAGCUUGUGUGUUAGUGGAAGCGUCUGGAAAGUCGCACGGUACAGGGUGACAGUCCCGUACACGAAAAUGCACAGGUUGUGAACUCGAAGAGUAGGGCGGGACACGUGGUAUCCUGUCUGAAUAUGGGGGGACCAUCCUCCAAGGCUAAAUACUCCUGACUGACCGAUAGUGAACCAGUACCGUGAGGGAAAGGCGAAAAGAACCCCGGCGAGGGGAGUGAAAAAGAACCUGAAACCGUGUACGUACAAGCAGUGGGAGCACCUUCGUGGUGUGACUGCGUACCUUUUGUAUAAUGGGUCAGCGACUUAUAUUCUGUAGCAAGGUUAACCGUAUAGGGGAGCCGCAGGGAAACCGAGUCUUAACUGGGCGUUAAGUUGCAGGGUAUAGACCCGAAACCCGGUGAUCUAGCCAUGGGCAGGUUGAAGGUUGGGUAACACUAACUGGAGGACCGAACCGACUAAUGUUGAAAAAUUAGCGGAUGACCUGUGGCUGGGGGUGAAAGGCCAAUCAAACCGGGAGAUAGCUGGUUCUCCCCGAAAGCUAUUUAGGUAGCGCCUCGUGAACUCAUCUUCGGGGGUAGAGCACUGUUUCGGCUAGGGGGCCAUCCCGGCUUACCAACCCGAUGCAAACUACGAAUACCGAAGAAUGUUAUCACGGGAGACACACGGCGGGUGCUAACGUCCGUCGUGAAGAGGGAAACAACCCAGACCGCCAGCUAAGGUCCCAAAGUCAUGGUUAAGUGGGAAACGAUGUGGGAAGGCACAGACAGCCAGGAUGUUGGCUUAGAAGCAGCCAUCAUUUAAAGAAAGCGUAAUAGCUCACUGGUCGAGUCGGCCUGCGCGGAAGAUGUAACGGGGCUAAACCAUGCACCGAAGCUGCGGCAGCGACGCUUAUGCGUUGUUGGGUAGGGGAGCGUUCUGUAAGCCGUUGAAGGUGUGCUGUGAGGCAUGCUGGAGGUAUCAGAAGUGCGAAUGCUGACAUAAGUAACGAUAAAGCGGGUGAAAAGCCCGCUCGCCGGAAGACCAAGGGUUCCUGUCCAACGUUAAUCGGGGCAGGGUGAGUCGACCCCUAAGGCGAGGCCGAAAGGCGUAGUCGAUGGGAAACAGGUUAAUAUUCCUGUACUUGGUGUUACUGCGAAGGGGGGACGGAGAAGGCUAUGUCAGCCGGGCGACGGUUGUCCCGGUUUAAGCGUGUAGGUGUGUGUUCCAGGCAAAUCCGGUUCACUUUAACACUGAGGCGUGAUGACGAGGCACUACGGUGCUGAAGUGAUAAAUGCCCUGCUUCCAGGAAAAGCCUCUAAGCAUCAGGUAACACGAAAUCGUACCCCAAACCGACACAGGUGGUCAGGUAGAGAAUACCAAGGCGCUUGAGAGAACUCGGGUGAAGGAACUAGGCAAAAUGGUGCCGUAACUUCGGGAGAAGGCACGCUGAUAUGUAGGUGAAGUCCCUGCGGACGGAGCUGAAAUCAGUCGAAGAUACCAGCUGGCUGCAACUGUUUAUUAAAAACACAGCACUGUGCAAACACGAAAGUGGACGUAUACGGUGUGACGCCUGCCCGGUGCCGGAAGGUUAAUUGAUGGGGUUAGCGGCAACGCGAAGCUCUUGAUCGAAGCCCCGGUAAACGGCGGCCGUAACUAUAACGGUCCUAAGGUAGCGAAAUUCCUUGUCGGGUAAGUUCCGACCUGCACGAAUGGCGUAAUGAUGGCCAGGCUGUCUCCACCCGAGACUCAGUGAAAUUGAACUCGCUGUGAAGAUGCAGUGUACCCGCGGCAAGACGGAAAGACCCCGUGAACCUUUACUAUAGCUUGACACUGAACACUGGUCCUUGAUGUGUAGGAUAGGUGGGAGGCUUUGAAGCGUGGACGCCAGUCUGCGUGGAGCCGUCCUUGAAAUACCACCCUUUAAUGGCUGGUGUUCUAACGUGGACCCGUGAUCCGGGUUGCGGACAGUGUCUGGUGGGUAGUUUGACUGGGGCGGUCUCCUCCCAAAGAGUAACGGAGGAGCACGAAGGUUAGCUAAUCCUGGUCGGACAUCAGGAGGUUAGUGCAAUGGCAUAAGCUAGCUUGACUGCGAGAGUGACGGCUCGAGCAGGUGCGAAAGCAGGUCAUAGUGAUCCGGUGGUUCUGAAUGGAAGGGCCAUCGCUCAACGGAUAAAAGGUACUCCGGGGAUAACAGGCUGAUACCGCCCAAGAGUUCAUAUCGACGGCGGUGUUUGGCACCUCGAUGUCGGCUCAUCACAUCCUGGGGCUGAAGUAGGUCCCAAGGGUAUGGCUGUUCGCCAUUUAAAGUGGUACGCGAGCUGGGUUUAGAACGUCGUGAGACAGUUCGGUCCCUAUCUGCCGUGGGCGCUGGAGAAUUGAGGGGGGCUGCUCCUAGUACGAGAGGACCGGAGUGGACGCAUCACUGGUGUUCGGGUUGUCAUGCCAAUGGCACUGCCCGGUAGCUAAAUGCGGAAGAGAUAAGUGCUGAAAGCAUCUAAGCACGAAACUUGCCCCGAGAUGAGUUCUCCCUGAGACUUUAAGUCUCCUGAAGGAACGUUGAAGACGACGACGUUGAUAGGCCGGGUGUGUAAGCGCAGCGAUGCGUUGAGCUAACCGGUACUAAUGAACCGUGAGGCUUAACCUU